UGGGGAAUAUUGGACAAUGGGCGCAAGCCUGAUCCAGCCAUGCCGCGUGGGUGAAGAAGGCCUUCGGGUUGUAAAGCCCUUUUGUUGGGAAAGAAAUCCUGUCGGCUAAUACCCGGCGGGGAUGACGGUACCCAAAGAAUAAGCACCGGCUAACUUCGUGCCAGCAGCCGCGGUAAUACGAAGGGUGCAAGCGUUACUCGGAGUUACUGGGCGUAAAGCGUGCGUAGGCGGUUCGUUAAGUCUGUCGUGAAAGCCCUGGGCUCAACCUGGGAAUUGCGAUGGAUACUGGCGAGCUAGAGUACGGUAGGGGAUGGUGGAAUUCCCGGUGUAGCGGUGAAAUGCGUAGAGAUCGGGAGGAACACCCGUGGCGAAGGCGGCCAUCUGAACCAGUACUGACGCUGAGGCACGAAAGCGUGGGGAGCAAACA
rnacentral:rRNA from 1 species